AUGGAGGUUGCCAUAAGUAAUGUCAUGCCAAACACGGCUCACCGGUGGUGCAAGUGGCAUGUGCUAAAGAAGGCAAAAGAGUCGCUUGGCCCAUUGUACACAAAGAAGAGUGAUUUUCAACCAGAGUUUCACAAGGUUGUCAACCACAUGCUAACCAUAGAUGAGUUUGAGGAUGGCUGGAAGUACUUAAUAGAGAAAUACAACUUGAAAAGUCAUGACUACAUGACUAAUUUGUUUGAAAUACGUCACAAAUGGGCAAAGCCCUACUUCAAGGGGGUGUUCUGUGCAAAAAUGACCAGUACACAACAGAGUGAAAGCGCAAAUCACAUGCUAAAGAACUACGCGCCGCCUGGUUGCCCUAUGCAUGUUUUUGUGAGGAAGUAUAUGAGUUUAAUUUUUGACCGCGAGUCAGAAGAAAAUUAUGAGGAAAAGCGGACAGCAAUUGGGAGGCCACUCAUGCGAGCAAAUAUGGCAACUGAGAGACACGCUGGGAAGAUUUACACAAGAGCUAUGUUCGAGCAGUUUGGCCAUAUACUGUAUGAGUGUGGUGCAUAUCAGGUAGAAGAAAAAGAAAAAGGAAAGAGUAUAUCGCAAUACAUACAGAUGCUGCACGGCGGGAGAAGUGGUGCAAAACCUCAUACAAGGUGA
rnacentral:rRNA from 1 species